rnacentral:rRNA from 1 species
AGUGAACGCUGGCGGUAGGCCUAACACAUGCAAGUCGAACGGCAGCACAGUAAGAGCUUGCUCUUACGGGUGGCGAGUGGCGGACGGGUGAGGAAUACAUCGGCAUCUACUUUUUCGUGGGGGAUAACGGAGGGAAACUUACGCUAAUACCGCAUACGACCUACGGGUUAAAGCAGUGGAUCUUCGGACCUUGCGCGAUUGAAUUAGACGAUGUCGGAUUAGCUAGUUGGCGGGGUAAAGGCCCACCAAGGCGACGAUGCGUAGCUGGUCUGAGAGGAUGAUCAGCCACACUGGAACUGAGACACGGUCCAGACUCCUACGGGAGGCAGCAGUGGGGAAUCUUGGACAAUGGGCGCAAGCCUGAUCCAGCCAUGCCGCGUGGGUGAAGAAGGCCUUCGGGUUGUAAAGCUCUUUUGUUGGGAAAGAAAAGCAGCGGGUUAAUACCCCGCUGUUCUGACGGUACCCAAAGAAUAAGCACCGGCUAACUUCGUG